rnacentral:rRNA from 1 species
UACGUAGGGCGCAAGCGUUGUCCGGAAUUAUUGGGCGUAAAGAGCUCGUAGGCGGUUUGUCGCGUCUGCUGUGAAAACCUAAGGCUCAACCUUGGGCUUGCAGUGGGUACGGGCAGACUAGAGUGCGGUAGGGGUGACUGGAAUUCCUGGUGUAGCGGUGGAAUGCGCAGAUAUCAGGAGGAACACCGAUGGCGAAGGCAGGUUUCUGGGCAGUAACUGACGCUGAGGAGCGGAAAGCGUGGGGAGCCGAACAGG